GUAACAAUUUAUUUGAAUGGUAAUGAACCAUUUAUAAUGGCAUUUACAAACAGUUAGCUCACCAUUUAUAAAUUAUAACUACCACAUUUGUAAAUGUUACAAAGGUAGUGAUGCACACAUUUAGAUAAAAUGUUCCAUAUAAUUUCCUUAAACAUCCUGUGUUUAUUCUUUCACCAUUGAUAGGUCAUUGUAUUUAACCAUUGAUAGGUCACUGUAUUUCACCAUUGAUAGGUCAUUGUAUUUCACCAUUGAUAGGUCACUGUAUUUCACCAUUGAUAGGUCACUGUAUUUUACCAUUGAUAGGUCACUGUAUUUCACCAUUGAUAGGUCACUGUAUUUUACCAUUGAUAGGUCACUGUAUUUCACCAUUGAUAGGUCAUUGUAUCACCAUUGAUAGGUCACUGUAUUUAACCAUUGAUAGGUCAUUGUAUUUCACCAUUGAUAGGUCAUUGUAUCACCAUUGAUAGGUCACUGUAUUUUACCAUUGAUAGGUCACUGUAUUUCACCAUUGAUAGGUCAUUGUAUUUAACCAUUGAUAGGUCAUUGUAUUUCACCAUUGAUAGGUCAUUGUAUUUCACCAUUGAUAGGUCACUGUAUUUCACCAUUGAUAGGUCACUGUAUUUCACCAUUGAUAGGUCAUUGUAUUUCACCAUUGAUAGGUCACUGUAUUUCACCAUUGAUAGGUCACUGUAUUUCACCAUUGAUAGGUCAUUGUAUUUCACCAUUGAUAGGUCAUUGUAUUUAACCAUUGAUAGGUCAUUGUAUUUCACCAUUGAUAGGUCAUUGUAUUUCACCAUUGAUAGGUCACUGUAUUUCACCAUUGAUAGGUCACUGUAUUUCACCAUUGAUAGGUCACUGUAUUUCACCAUUGAUAGGUCAUUGUAUUUCACCAUUGAUAGGUCACUGUAUUUCACCAUUGAUAGGUCACUGUAUUUCACCAUUGAUAGGUCAUUGUAUUUAACCAUUGAUAGGUCAUUGUAUUUCACCAUUGAUAGGUCACUGUAUUUCACCAUUGAUAGGUCACUGUAUUUCACCAUUGAUAGGUCA